rnacentral:rRNA from 1 species
AACGAACGCUGGCGGCAUGCCUAACACAUGCAAGUCGAACGAGACCUUCGGGUCUAGUGGCGCACGGGUGCGUAACGCGUGGGAACCUGCCUUUAGGUUCGGAAUAACUCAGAGAAAUUUGAGCUAAUACCGGAUGAUGUCUUCGGACCAAAGAUUUAUCGCCUUUAGAUGGGCCCGCGUUGGAUUAGCUAGUUGGUGGGGUAAAGGCCUACCAAGGCGACGAUCCAGAGCUGGUCUGAGAGGAUGCUCAGCCACACUGGGACUGAGACACGGCCCAGACUCCUACGGGAGGCAGCAGUGGGGAAUAUUGGACAAUGGGCGAAAGCGUGAUCAAGCAAUGCCGCGUGAGUGAUGAAGGCCUUAGGGUUGUAAAGCUCUUUUACCCGAGAUGAUAAUGACAGUAUCGGGAGAAUAAGCUCCGGCUAACUCCGUG